rnacentral:lncRNA from 1 species
UUUAUACCUUUCUUUUGCUUAUCUCUUUCUACUCUCUCCUUUUACCUUCUUUACACAGCUGUCAAUUUGGGAGAGAAUGAGUCAAGAUGCUCUUCAAAAAAUUUGAUCCCACAGAAGAUAUGGAAAAUGGUCAAAAAGCCUUGGCUAGAGAAGAAGCUCUGGCUCCCACUCCUCAUAUACAUACUUUUACCACCAGACAUUGUGGAAAAGGGGAUUGUUCUAAUCCUUUCAAACUACUACUGGUGCCAACAAGGACAGAGACCAGUAGGCAUCUCCCAGUGGUCAUCUUUUUCCUGCAUUGACUCUGAGCAUUUUCACCCUGUGAGAUCUGGUGAAUACUUUUUCUCAAGAAAGAAGGAUGAGCAAUUCCCCUUUGCAGGCGGAGCUGCCCACAAACCCUGGACACUGGCUACCUGCAGGAGUCACAGGGAGCACCAGUGCAACACAGCAUGGAAAACACUUAUGUUCCUAGCAGGGCAAUCCAAAGCAAUACAUUUCACAACCAGUCAACAAACAAGGAUAUAGACUGGCAGUUGUGAGCCCUCCUGCUGGAAGUGCUUGUAUGGAUCUCAUGAGAAGCCAAGGAAGUUCCAUUCAGUUCACUAACCAGUCGUAAGUCAAUAGCAAAUCCCAGCUGCAGUCUCUCUGCCAGGCCUACCAGGCUUCGGCAUGGAUCCCAGGCAGACCAACAGAACUAAAUUUACAGUGGAACUGUUUGGAAUAACAAAUUAAGAGGAAAAAAAUCAGGAUAUGUUCAUAAUUACAUUCCAUGAACGUAAAGGGAGGUCAUGUGUUGCAUAUGUUAUUUUUUGCAGAAAGUCAUUCUCUCCCAGCUCUAAAUUAAUCAUGUUUCAUCAGAAUGGUUUUGCAUAUCAAUAAAGCUGCAUUGCUUAGAAAUUCA